UACGUAGGGGCAAGCGUUGUCCGGAAUCAUUGGGCGUAAAGCGCGUGUAGGCGGUCCGGUAAGUCCGCUGUAAAAGUCGGGGGCUCAACCCUGGAAAGCCGGUGGAUACUGUCGGGCUCGAGUCCGGAAGAGGCGAGUGGAAUUCCUGGUGUAGCGGUGGAAUGCGCAGAUAUCAGGAGGAACACCGAUGGCGAAGGCAGGUCUCUGGGCAUUAACUGACGCUGAGGAGCGAAAGCAUGGGGAGCGAACAGG
rnacentral:rRNA from 1 species